GACGUAGGGCGCGAGCGUUGUCCGGAUUUAUUGGGCGUAAAGAGCUCGUAGGCGGCUUGUUGCGUCAGCUGUGAAAACCCGCAGCUCAACUGUGGGCUUGCAGCUGAUACGGGCAGGCUUGAGUUCGGUAGGGGAGACUGGAAUUCCAGGUGUAGCGGUGAAAUGCGUAGAUAUCUGGAGGAACACCGGUGGCGAAGGCGGCAUCCUGGACCGGUAUUGACGCUGAGGCGCGAAAGCUAGGGGAGCAAACGGG
rnacentral:rRNA from 1 species